rnacentral:rRNA from 1 species
GAUGAACGCUGGCGGCGUGCCUAAUACAUGCAAGUCGAGCGAAUGGAUUAAGAGCUUGCUCUUAUGAAGUUAGCGGCGGACGGGUGAGUAACACGUGGGUAACCUGCCCAUAACUCUGGGAUAACUGCGGGAAACUGUAGCUAAUACCGGAUACGACCCUCGGCGGCAUCGCCAGGGGGUGGAAAGAAUUUCGGUCAAGGAUGGACUCGCGGCCUAUCAGCUAGUUGGUGAGGUAACGGCUCACCAAGGCGACGACGGGUAGCCGGCCUGAGAGGGUGACCGGCCACACUGGGACUGAGACACGGCCCAGACUCCUACGGGAGGCAGCAGUGGGGAAUAUUGCACAAUGGGCGCAAGCCUGAUGCAGCAACGCCGCGUGAGGGAUGACGGCCUUCGGGUUGUAAACCUCUUUUAGUAGGGAAGAAGCGAAAGUGACGGUACCUGCAGAAAAAGCACCGGCUAACUACGUGCCAGCCGCCGCCGUAA